rnacentral:lncRNA from 1 species
CAACAAGUUGGUAAGUAACUAUGACAUUUCUACAAAAUUAUUCAACAAUUUUAAGGAUUAAUAAAUUGGGAUGAUUUAUUAUCAGGGCGGCAUUGGUUUUGAAAUUCCAAUUCCAAGCAAUCAGUUGAUGAUUGGAUUAGCUGCAUCAUCUCCAUUGGAAAACCCUACCCCUACCGUCAAUUUCAAAAUUCAGUGUGAUAUUCAGAAGUUGUGGAUUGAAAGUAUUGUAGCUCAGACAACUUGCUUAACUGCUGGUGAAAAGACAGUGUUGCCAUCCUUGACUAUCUCAGCAAACAAACUGGACCU